UUGGAAUACAUGAUUAUUUGAGUAGAAAAUUUUGUGUUAUAUGUCGAACGUAUACGAUGAGGCUUAGAAUCUAAGGAAAUGAAGAAUAAUUUAUGAUUAUGUCACCGAGACGAAAACGAAAACCAGCCGCGGAAGAUCAACCAGAUAAUCGAACGUCGAACGCCAAAGACUUUAAGGCAAUCCUAUUGCUAGGGUAUAGAGGAUUAAGUGACUCAGUAGAAGNNNNN
rnacentral:lncRNA from 1 species